GCAAGCGUUAAUCGGAAUUACUGGGCGUAAAGCGCACGCAGGCGGUCUGUCAAGUCGGAUGUGAAAUCCCCGGGCUCAACCUGGGAACUGCAUUCGAAACUGGCAGGCUUGAGUCUUGUAGAGGGGGGUAGAAUUCCAGGUGUAGCGGUGAAAUGCGUAGAGAUCUGGAGGAAUACCGGUGGCGAAGGCGGCCCCCUGGACAAAGACUGACGCUCAGGUGCGAAAGCGUGGGGAGCAAACAGGAUUAGAUACCCUGGUAGUCCACGCCGUAAACGAUGUCUACUUGGAGGUUGUGCCCUUGAGGCGUGGCUUCCGGAGCUAACGCGUUAAGUAGACCGCCUGGGGAGUACGGCCGCAAGGUUAAAACUCAAAUGAAUUGACGGGGGCCCGCACAAGCGGUGGAGCAUGUGGUUUAAUUCGAUGCAACGCGAAGAACCUUAC
rnacentral:rRNA from 1 species